GGUGGGGUGUCUGAGUGGUUUAAAGAGAUGGUUUCGAAAACCAUUGUAGUCGUGAAGGCUACCGUGAGUUCAAAUCUCACCCCCACCG
rnacentral:tRNA from 1 species